CUACGGGACGCACCAGUGGGGAAUAUUGCACAAUGGAGGAAACUCUGAUGCAGCAACGCCGCGUGGAGGAUGACACUUUUCGGAGCGUAAACUCCUUUUAUAUAGGAAGAAGAUGACGGUACUAUAUGAAUAAGCGCCGGCUAACUCCGUGCCAGCAGCCGCGGUAAUACGGAGGGCGCAAGCGUUACUCGGAAUCACUGGGCGUAAAGAGCGUGUAGGCGGAUUAAAAAGUCAGAAGUGAAAUCCUAUAGCUUAACUAUAGAACUGCUUCUGAAACUCUUAAUCUAGAAUAUGGGAGAGGUAGAUGGAAUUUCUGGUGUAGGGGUAAAAUCCGUAGAGAUCAGAAGGAAUACCGAUUGCGAAGGCGAUCUACUAGAACAUUAUUGACGCUGAGACGCGAAAGCGUGGGGAGCAAACAGGAUUAGAAUACCCUAGUAGUC
rnacentral:rRNA from 1 species